GCUGCAGCAGUGGGCCAGGAGGCCCUGACUUGGCUGGCUUCUCACCUCCCGCCACAGGUCAUCUUUCUAGUGCCUGAAAAGAUAUCUGCAAAAUGUUAACAUUGAUGGACAAAGAUGUGAACAAGACCGGAUAAGGGAUUCUCCCAGUGCAGAACAGGUCAUCUUGCUAGUGCCUGAAAAGAUAUCUGCAAAAUUUUAACAUUGAUGGACAAAGAUGUGAACAGGACCAGAUAAGGGAUUCUCCCAGUGCAGAACAGGGCACAGGUUUGGGGACGGCAACAAAGUUUCAGAAAGAGAGGAAGCCUAUUGUGGGUUGAGUGGUGAGAGGGAGUCGGAUCGCGUGUACAGAGCGCAUUGUCAACAUCGAUUGUUCUCACCGUGGAACUAAGGCACCUCAGAAGAAAAGAAGCAAAAACCCACCGAACCUCCUACAGAGGGCAGUUCUAAUGGUCGCCGCUGGGGCCGCCGUCAGUGGGACUCAGCUGCACUGCAACUGGCCUGUUUGGCACAAACCAGACCAAGGAGCAACAUCAAGAGCAGGGUCUUCAUGCUGAAGGUGAUCAUCAGUCCCUUCGUGACAGGAGC